CAGGAUAGGUGGGAGGCGUUGAAAGUUUUCUUGCGGGAAGAUUUGAGCCAUUGGUGAGAUACCACUCUAACAAUGCUAGGAUUCUAACCCUAUGUCGUUAUCCGGCUAGGGGACAGUUUCAGGUGGUCAGUUUGACUGGGGCGGUCGCCUCCUAAAAGGUAACGGAGGCGUGCAAAGGUUCCCUCAGGCUGGUUGGAAAUCAGUCGUAGAGUGUAAAGGCAUAAGGGAGCUUGGUUGUGAGACCUACAAGUCGAACAAAGACGAAAGUCGGCCUUAGUGAUCCGGCGGUACCGAGUGGAAGGGCCGUCGCUCAACGGAUAAAAGUUACUCUAGGGAUAACA
rnacentral:rRNA from 1 species